rnacentral:misc_RNA from 1 species
AAGUCGUAACAAGGUUUCCGUAGGUGAACCUGCGGAAGGAUCAUUAAAUAAUGUGAUAAUUUUACAAUUAUCUUCUUUACUGUGAAACGUUUUAUGUAUGACGCAUAAGGGGAUGUCUAUAUGCCAUAGGGGUAGGUAUAUAGAAUGCUAACCUAGUCAUAGUCAAGCUUGAUGCUUGGUACCCAAUUAUUAUUUACCAAAAGAAUUCAGUUUAAAUAAUGUAACAUAGAUCUAAACAAUCUAUAAAACAACUUUUAACAAUGGAUCUCUUGGUUCUC